GAUAGUUUCCACUGUAGAUAUAGGAUCUGACUAUAAAUAGGCGUGUUAUCAGAAAUAGGUUUUAGUUGUUGCAUGUAGCCUACUACCAUGAUGUCUCGGGUUGUGUGUAUCGGAUUGGGUCUCUUAGUUGUGUUGGGCUUCUUCGAAGCUGGUGCAGCUCCUCAUCAAGGUGGUGGUAGCUUCAGCCAAGCCAGUGCUCAAUCAUCAAGCGGCGGCUUCGGCGGAGGUCCCGGUUUUGGCGGCCCUUCUGCCCGUGGCUCUAGCAUAGGAGGUCCUGGCUUUGGAGGCCCAGGCUUUGGCGGCCCUUCUGCCCGAGGGUACAACUCUGGUGGUCCAGGAUUUGGUGGGCCCCCUACCAAUUACGGACGCCCUGGCUUCGGUGGCUCUGGUGGAAGUGGACCUACUAUCAAUAUCUCGAAGAGUGUCAGCAUCAGCACAGGCGGUGGUAGUUCUCAAUCGCAAGCCAGCUCGGCUGCAAGAUCCGGUGGAAAGUGAUAAGACUUUGAAUACUGUUUUUGUGAUUUUUUUAUUGAUUAAAUAAUGUUUUGGUUCAUAAAGCUGGUGAAUUGAAGUUAUAUUAAGUAUAAUAAAAUGGUAAAUAAUUCCUA